rnacentral:misc_RNA from 1 species
GAUGGAGAACGUAGUGAAAUGCGAUAAGUAAUGUGAAUUGCAGAAUUCAGUGAAUCAUCGAAUCUUUGAACGCACCUUGCGCCCUUUGGCUAUUCCGAAGGGCAUGCCUGUUUGAGUAUCAUGAACACCUCAACUCUCAUGGUUCGCCAUGAUGAGCUUGGACUCUGGGGGUCUUGCUGGCCUAUGGUCAGCUCCUCUCAAAUAAAUCAGCUUGCCAGUGUUUGGUGGCAUCACAGGUGUGAUAACUAUCUACGCUUGUGGUUUUCCAUCAGGUAACCUUCAGUGAUGGAGGUUCGCUGGAGCUCAUAAAUGUCCCUCCUCAGCGAGGACAGCUUUUUGAACGUUUGAUCUCAAAUCAGGUAGGACUACCCGCUGAACUUAAGCAUAUCAAUAAGCGGAGGA